AGAGCAGCGUGAGCGUGGCUGGCCUGGCAGGUCCCACCCUGGCCCUCUGGGGAGGCAGCCCUGGGGCGAGCCAGCCCCACCGUGCACACAUUGUGAGCACCCAGGCACCUCUGCUUCCGUGAGGGGCACAGUGCGGUUGGAGACGGCUGGAGCAGGGGGAGGGGCGUUUCCAGCCCCCACCCUCCAAAGCUUUGGUCCACUUAGCGGGCACAGCUAAGCCCCUGCCGGGCUUUUCUCAGGCAGCCACAGCACAGGAUGACCAGGACCUUACAGAGGAGCCUUAAGGGCAAAGAUGGAGGUGGAAGGUGACCCCUGCAGCCUGAGGGCCUUUCUGCUCCUCCUAACCCAAAGAUGCCCAGCAAAGACAAAUGAAGCCCACCCAAGACCCCGAGCGCGACCACUCUGUGGAGAGCCACCCGGCCUCCGAGGGCAGGGCCAAGCACCCCAGAUGGGCAGUGACCCCUCCCUCACGAGGGUGGGCAGGAGAGAGCGCCUGUCCAGUGAAGGCGGCCAGGCAGGCCCACGGGUGAGCGGACGUCCGUGCUGUGCGCGUGGACAUGUCCUGUCUACGUGAGGAGGCUGGAUUCUCGGGGCUGGGCCGUGUGGGGUUGGGAGGGCUGCCCGCCUCCC
rnacentral:lncRNA from 1 species